AUGCUGCGCUAACACAUCGAGCUGCUAACGCGUUAAAGUGCUCAGUUUCGGGCGGUAAAGUUUGAUAAGGAGGAUGGAGGAGGGCUCGGAGUUGUCUCUGACCAUCGCUCAGAUCGUGCAGCGGCUGAAGGGAACUCAUUUACACUCUCAGAUAGAGAGGCAGGCCAAAGAGUGUUUACAUCAACCGGAGAUAAAGCUGGAGUCUCUUAAAGAGGACGUACGCAGUUUUCUGAAAACAUCAGGCUGGGAGAGACAGCUGCAGAAUGCAGUGUACAGAGAACUACACGUGUAAGUUAAACUCUGCUUAAACACAC